GAUGAAGAACGUAGCGAAAUGCGAUAAGUAAUGUGAAUUGCAGAAUUCAGUGAAUCAUCGAAUCUUUGAACGCACAUUGCGCCCGCCAGUAUUCUGGCGGGCAUGCCUGUUCGAGCGUCAUUUCAACCCUCAAGCCCCAGCGGCCUGGUGUUGGGGACCGGCGACCUCGCCCGAGCCCGCCCUCCGGGGCGCGUGCCCGGUGCGUCCGCCGCCCCCGAAAUGAAUUGGCGGCCUCGUCGCGGCCUCCUCUGCGUAGUAGCACAACCUCGCAAGCGGGAGCGCGACGCGGCCACUGCCGUAAAACGCCCAACUUUUUUAGAGUUGACCUCGGAUCAGGUAGGAAUACCCGCUGAACUUAAGCAUAUCAAAAAGCGGAGGA
rnacentral:misc_RNA from 1 species